rnacentral:lncRNA from 1 species
CGAUAUAACCAUAGGUCCCAACAACUGCGGUCCAAUUGGAUGAGUCUAGCUUUAAAAGCUUGGAUGUGCCAAAAUCAGAAAUAUGUGCCUCAUAAUCAGAAUCAAGAAGGAUGUUGGCAAUGGAAAUGUCUCUAUGAAUUAUAGGUGGUGUGCAAUCGUGAUGCAUAUAAGCCAAACCAUUAGCUACAGCCUUUACAAUAUUGACCCUUUUUAACCAAUCCAGUUCUUUUGCUAAGAUCUCAUUGCAUAAGAUUGAUCCAAGGCUUCCCUUUUCGAGGUAUUCAUAAAUCAAAAACGAGUGGCGGGCAUGUGAGCAAUAUCCAUAAAGUUUCACUAUGUUUCGAUGCCUUAUGUUGGUUAAUGCUCGUACCUCAUUAAGGAAUCCAUUUUGAUCAACAUUCUCAGAUGAUGAUGAAUGAAGUUCCUUGACAGCUACCACAUUGUUAGGUUGUAGCUCGGCUUUGUACACAGUCCCAUAUCCUCCGGUCCCAAUAGCAUAUGCUUCAUCAAAAUUGUCCGUUGCUUUCAAGAUGUCGUCAUACACUACUCCUCCAUCAAAAUUUGUUAUGGAGAAGUAAUCACCAUCUUCAUUAUCCAAUGGUUUCUGUGGAGAAUGUCUCUUUUGUUUUCGAUAAGCAAUGAGGCCACACAUGAAAAAACCUAGUAAAGUUGCCCCGAUAAGAGGGAGCAUAGUUAUCAGGAUGAGCUGAUGAUGAAAGGGAUCAUUUUUCUUCUUUGAGAUUUGAUUUGCACAAAAUUUUAGUCCUGUAAAAUUUCCACACAGACCUGGAUUGCCUUGUAAGGAUGCGUUCACAAAGUUGGAGCAAAGGGGCACUAGACCUGUGAGUUCAUUGUUGGACAGGUCGAUGUCAAUGCCACUAGGCAAAGUAGUAAAAGCAUUAGGAAUAGAACCAAAUAGUCUAUUGUGAGAAAGAUUCAACUUUUGUAGAUUUUUCAAACUUUGAACUUCAGAUGGUAUCUCAUGUGUGAGCAAAUUCUGAGAUAAAUCAAGUUCCGUAAGAUGAACUAAGUUACCAAUCUCAGAUGGAAUUUUCUCACUGAGUUUGUUAUUACUAAGAUUCAAGUGGUGGAUAUGUUCCCAUUGACUAAUACUUUUUGGUAUUGACCCAUUCAAUCUAUUUGUGGAUAGAUCGAGUACUUCAAGAAGUUUUAAAAAUCCCAGCUCUAGAGGUAUAAUACCUAAAAGUUGGUUAUUAGCCAAGAACAAAUUCAACAUACUUUUCAUCUUCCCAAACUCCUUUGGGAUUUCACCUACCAAAUGAUUGGAAGAAAGAUCAAGUCUUUGUAGUUGAGUUGAAUUUCCAAACUCUGGUGGUAUGCUACCACUGAUGUUGUUAUAGGCCAUCACUAAGGAUGUCAAAUUCUUGCAUUUACUCCAGUUUUGAGAAAGCUGCCCGUGAAAAUUAUUGUGACUGAUAUCAAGGUAUUUUAAACGUGGAUAGAUGCCAAAGCUAUAGGAUAUAUCUCCAAUGAAAUGAUUUCGAUCAAAACGAGCCCUAAUUAAGCUAGAACAAUUCCGUAAGCCUCUUGAAAUAGGCCCAGUGAGUUGAUUAUCAUUUACUACUAACAAUCGAAGCUUUUCCCAAUGGCACAAAUCUUCAGGCAAAUUGCCAGAAAAAUGAUUAUAUGACAGCUCAAGCCCAACUAGAUUUCCCAAUCCUUGUGGAACCGAACCAGAUAAUUUAUUUUCACGACAAGACAGAGUCCGUAGGUUGUUGAGGUUUGCAAAAGAUGGAGGAAUAAAACCAUUAAGUUGAUUCUUUCUCACAUCAAGACAAGUGAGAGACUUCAAAUUUCCAAGUUCAAUAGGAAUGGGACCAGAGAGUUCAUUUAGGGCCAAAUAAAGGACAAUCAAAGAUGUCAAAUUACCCAAUGAUGAAGGAAUUGAACCAGUUAGUUGAUUGUUGCUAACCUCAAGAUCAGUGAGAGACUUCAAAUUCCCAAAUUCAAUAGGAAUGGGACCAGAGAGUUGAUUGUGGUACAAAUAAAGGACAUUUAAAGAUGUCAGAUCACCCAACGAUGGAGGAAUAGAACCACUAAGUUGAUUUUCACUAAAACCCAGAUUAGUGAGAGACUUCAAAUUCCCAAGUUCUGAAGGAAUGAGACUAGAUAAUCUAUUUUUAAAGAGGUACAGAGUCUGUAGGUUGCUGAGGUUUCCUAGUGAUGAAGGAAUAGAACCAUUAAGUUGAUUGUUACCCACCGCAAGAUGAGUAAGAGACUCCAAAUUCCCAAGUUCAAUAGGAAUGGGACCAGAUAAUCUAUUAUCAUUGAGGUACAAAUAAUGUAGGUUGCUUAGGUUUCCUAGUGAUGAAGGAAUAGAACCACUAAGUUGAUUGUAUCCCAUCUGAAAAUCAAUGAGAGACUUCAAAUUCCCAAGUUGAAUAGGAAUGGGACCAGAGAGUUGAUUGUAGUACAAAUAAAGGACAUUCAAAGAUGUCAAAUUUCCCAAUGAUGAAUGAAUUGAGCCAGAUAUAUUGUUUGAGUAUAGGUACAAGAUGGUUAGCUGGUGCAGGUUUCCUAUUUCAGGUGGGAUUACUCCAGAAAACUUAUUCACUGAAAAAUCAAGAUAUUCAAGUUUGGACAGGAGGCGAAUUUCUGAUGGGAUGGGGCCAGAGAAGUUGUUGACACUGAGAUCAAAAUAAGUAAGACCGUGUAGCAAAGAGAAUGAAAAUUGAUGAAGCGUACCAUUUAAGCCAGAUGAACUGAGGUUUAGCCUCUGAAUGCUCCCAUCAACAUUGCAAACUACUCCAAGCCAAGAACUACAUGGAAACGAUGCAUUGGAAUUCAUAUGGAGUGGAAACCAUGAAGAGAGAAUGGAGUUGUUUGGGAUUUCAAGGCUUGCUUUCCAUUUAAGAAGAGCAUUGGCUUCCUCUAAAGAAGCACAAGAGAAAUUAGGUGUGGAGGAGAGUGUAAUGAUUAUUAGAGCAAGGGAGAAAUAUAAGAAGUUUGAUGACAUUAUUUGCUUUAGCUCUUCCUGUAUAAAAACGGAUGGUUUGUAUGUUCAAUUUUAUACUUGAGCUACCUUUUUAUCUUGCAUAUUUUUUUAUUUUCACAUUCUAGAAAGGAAAUUUGGGCAAUGUCAUAUUUUUCCACAAGGAGUGUCUUUUAUGUUAGAAGUUAGUGUCAUAUUUUUCCACAAUGGAUUGUAUUUGUCACGGCCUUGAUCCUUUUUUCUUAGAACCCAAAAUUUUGCAAGGCACUAGGAAUUACAAAAACACAAUGGUAUUAUAUGUUAUUGUCGAAUUUAACAGCUUAAUAAUAUUACUUUAACUUGAUUAUAUAGACAUAUUUAUUUUUGUUUUCUGAUUAAUGCUAGUAGAAGUACUUUCACUAAAACUGUGUUUUGCUUCAUAAGCAGUGCUGUAACUGAUGACUAUUAUGUAGCUGAUUGCCACUUCAAAACUGUUUGAAUGAGUCAAUGGAGAUAGGGACAUUAGGGUCUUUUAAAAGAAUCUAAAAAGAAAUGAACAUUGUGUGAUACUUGAAACAUGUGAAUGAGGGAAAAUAGGAUAAAUAUGAAGAUAAUUAAAUAAAAAUUUAUGGUUCUUAUUGUUCCUGCAUUUCUUACAUCUCUUGAUUUCUUUUAUCUCCUGAAGUGACUAAAACGUCUCAUUCUCAUACUUGCGUCGUCUUAAAAAUGGAAAUUAUUAAAUAAAACUGAAAAUACAACUGUAAUAUUGUCUGUUUCUCUUAUUUCCCACAGCUGAUAAGUUUAAACAAAUCUUUAGAAGUCUUCUGCACAUCGCAUUUCAUGAUCAUUUCUCUUAGUCCUUAUCUUCACAUAUUAAUGAGAAACCAAUGUAGAGUGUGGUUUACUUCUGAAAUCAAUGUUUUUUAGUAAACGACUCUAUUAAUGGGUCAAUGGUGAUGGCCACUUUAUAAGAAUCUAAAAAAUGAAUGGACCUAGUCUUUUUAUUGAACGUGUUUCGAAGGAUAUGAAUGAAAUUCUCCCCUUAUUGAUAUGUAUGCUGAUACAGUUGUUUUUCACCAUUUAAUCAAUCGUUUUCAUUUUUUAAUCAGUGUUAUUAUCAGAUUUCUUUUACAUGUUCAUAAUACAAAUGACUUUAGAUUUUAAACUUUGUGACUAACUCUCUAGGAGAUGAUAAUAAAGCCGGAUGAAAUAAACCCAAAGAAUGAUCACAUUAUCCUUUUAAUUCAUCUUCUUUAGGAGAAUUUCACUCAUAUCCUUCGAAAUUUUAAAUAUUACUUAUAUGUCCUUGUAAAUUUUAAAAUUACAUAUAUAUCCACCCAAAACUAUAAAACUCAUGUCUAUAUCCAAAUUUAUAAUUUAAGUAGAUUUAAGCUAAUUGAAUUUUAUAAAACUAUCUAAAAAUCAAAAUUACUUAUGAUUAUACUAAAAUACCCUUCUCAACUUAAAAACUAAAUUAAACCAAUUUAACAGUCGUCGUUGCCAAAUCUCGACGUCCAAACAUUAUGUGCAAAGUGGUUACAUAUGAACACCAAAAAGAAUUAUAUUCAAAAGGUAUGAAAUUCUUAACAUGAAACAAAGAUUGGACCUAUCAAAUGCCAAUUACGCCAAUUGAUGACGAGUAAGUUUCAUAACCCCAAUUUAACUUAUUAAAAAAAUUCCAUAUGUGAUCUACCGACUUGUUUUCUGUGUUGCUUUAUAAUUUUCAUUCCAUAAUUUAAACUAUUAAAAAAAUCAUUAUAAGAUUUAAGCAUAAUGAAGAAGAUGGGAACUGGACGUAAGCUUCGAUGCAGCAGAAAUGGGGUAGGAAGGUUUCUAAUAUUCAAUUAGGUUUAAUCCUAAUUAAACAGGUUUAGUGUUAAUGUUUGAUUUUUAUGAAGGGUAUUUUAGUACAAUCAUAUUAAAUUUUUAUUUUUGGAUAAGUUUUUUCAUAUUAAAUUAACUAGGUUACAACCCGUGAAAACUACGGGUAAUAUUUAUAAAAUUUUAUUAAACUAAUAAAGUAUAAGUUUUGUUUAGACUUUUAUAUUAUUGAUUAUAUAAAAUUAAUAUUUAUUUUUAUUUGUAUAGGUUAAAAAACAUUUUCAUUCAAAAGAUCUUUUAAUUAGAUCAUAUGAUAUAGAUUUUUAGUUAUUAACAAAACUCAUUUAAAAUAUAUUUUUAUUUAAAAGAUCUUUUACAUUAAUUUAUUUGAAAAUAAAUUAUUACUAUAAUAAAUUUAUUUGAUUAAUACAAAAUGAAAAUUGAUGCACUAAAAAUAAUAAGAAUGGAUGGACUAAUUUAACUAACUAAAAAAUAUAGUAUCAAUUUGAUAAUUUUUUCUAUUACAAACUGUUUUUUUUUUCUCAUCACCUCACAAAAACUUAUAAAAUAGAUUAAAACUUUUACUGUAUUUGUUGCAUCACCAUAUAGAUACACAAGUCAAGUAUACACAUGGUCACAUAUAGGUAAAUCGAAGCCUCAAAGAUGGAAAUUUUGCAAUACCCAUGAAUAUCAAAUAAAAUUAAGUUGAAGCAAACCAUACCAAAUAGCUUUUGUGGUGCUUGAAAAUAUUCAUAGGAAAUAAUUAGCAUAAGGUAUAAACUUGAAAUAUUAAAACUUGUUACGAAUUAUUUUUUGGAAAUGUUUAGAUUUACAACAUGAUAAACAUUAAAAUGGUGACUGCAAAAUCUAUUGUUUAAAAGAAAAUAAUUCUCUUUCCCACUGUGUUUUGUACAACGUUAUACUUCAAAAUUUUCCAGUCUACUAAACCUUGGGGUACCCUGUAUCAAUGAUUCUCCCCUCCACUGUGUUUUGUAAAAAGAUUUUGUCUUUGUGAUGAUACAAUUCCCGUUCCAAUCAGAAACAAAUGCAUAUUGUUAAGCCUUAUGGUUCGUUGGCAUCAUAACAUAGAAAACAAAGUGCUUCAUUAAUUCAAAUCAAAACAGAUGGAAAUUAUAAUGCAUUGUACUAAAGCAAGGUAAUCCCAACAGAAAAAUUCGUUUGGUGUUUUAAACCGGCAAAAUGAAUAACAACAUCAUCCCCAUGAUUUCAUUGCUUUGUACUUAUUACAUAGUUUAGUAUUUGUCGGUCUCCAUUAAACAUCCAUCUGAAUCUCUCUAAUAUCAACUGUGAAAAAUCAAAAAUUACCUCCAUGAAUCAGUCAAGCAAAUGAUCGAAUAGUUGGUGGGCAAAUGAUAAUGCAAGACAAACUGCCAAUAGUAAGAAAUUUAUGCAAUAUAAGUAUCACGAAUUUCAUUGCUUUUUACUUAUUACAUAGUUUAGUAUUUAUCAGUCUCUACUAAACAUCUAUAUGAAUCUCUAAAACUAAUAUUAACUGUGAAAAAUCAAAAAUUACCUCCAUGACUCAGUCAAGCAAAUGAUUGAAUAGUUGGUGGACAAAUGAUUUUUACAGGUGUAAAAGCAGCAGUCCUGAUUUUUACAGACUGAAAAUCAACAACUUUUUCCAUGGCCUUCAUGGAAGGAUUCAAGACCCACGCAUCUGUAAGAAAUGAAUGCACACAAAAUUUCCUGAAAGAGAUGGACAAAGAGAUGGACAAAGGAUGGAGAGAGAAAGACAGGAGUGGCGUCGACAUUAUUUAGAUCUAGGGUUUAAUGGGUUUCUUGAAAAAUAGAUACAAAGAAUGAGGGAAAUGGAAAUAGAUACAAAAAAUUACUGAUAUAUAUCGGCUUCAUAUUUGGAAAUUCCAAAGAAUUAGGGCAAAAUGGGAGAGACAAAGCAUAGAAAAAGAGACGGUGGACACAAUGGCAGAGUCAAUAUACACAAAUUCGUUCGUUGAAGUUACUGAUUUAUGGACUUCAGUUUAGAAUGUUGAGCGUUACUUGUGGAAUAGAUUAGCAUCAUAUUUGUUCUGAUAUUCAGUUUCAAAACCAAAAUCUCGAUGAAAUGGUUUGGGGUAUAUUCGGUACUUCUUAUUGAAACUUUUAGGCGGGAAAAUUUUACACGAAGGGGCUAUGAAGUUUCCACGUGGACACAAUGGUAAUGUUUUAUUAACAUAGAUUUAAAUCUAAUAAAAUUAUAAGUAUGGAUAUAUAUAUAUAUAUGUGAGUUUUAUAAUUUGAGAUAAAUAUAUAUGUAAUAUCAAUAUUUGAAAGGAUAUAUAAGUAAUAUCUAAUGUUUUUAAGGAUAUAAACGAAAUUUUCCCCAUUACUUUUUCUAGUUAAACUGAGAAGUAAAUAAACAUACGCGAAUAGAUAGAAAAGCAUGGGUACUUCGAAUUCACCAUCUGGUGCUGUGCCUUUUGCUCUUUUGGAUAUAAAAUGUUACCCUGAAUCUAAAAGAAUUGGAGUAACCCUUGGGAAAUCUGAAACUUCCCUCCGCUACUGCUUCUGCUUGACUUCUCUUUUCUAAUUUCUUGCAAAAUUACGUAUUUGCCCACUUCCGAUUUCCCAAAUUUUGUAUUCUCUUUUAGUUUCGUUUCGGACUUCUUGUCUGUGAUUUGGGCAAAUAAACAUAGAAAAUAACUUCUGGGCCCUUCUACAUUUUGGGCCCUGUGCAAUGGUAGCUUUAACCCCACAAAACAUACUCAACUUGAAAAUAGUAUUCAACCUCUAAAAAUUGAAACUUUGUUAAUAAAAUCCUCGUAUUUUGUACGAUUAAAUGAUAUCGAAAAGAAUGUUUGUAAAUCCUCAAGGGAUAUUUAAUUCAGCAUUAUACACAUUUAAAAAAAUAAAAAAACAUAAAUACUGAAUCCAAAGGCCCAUAAAUCAACUAAAGCAAAGUGUCUCAAACACUCAAGCAAAUUCUUCUCUCUUACCCCACUAUAUGAUUUACCCUAUCUACUCUGUUUUGUUGUUUUUUUUUGUUUUGUUUUUUUUUUUUUUACAUGAUUGCAUAGUUGAAACAAAAAAAGAACGAUGUCUUUUUCAUCCCUUUUGCAAGAACAUUGUUGAAUCAAACAUGUUGACUAUUUUGUUAAUUGAAGAGGUUUUUGAACAAAAUCGAUUAAGAUGUACUCUGUUUGGAAUUUUUGUUUAAGCGACUAUUAUUUAUUUUUUUUAUUUUUUUCUCAAAACGUGAGGACAUUUUUUCUUAUUAUAACUUAGUUAUCAAUAGUACGAGUGAGAAGGCAAACAUGCAACAAGCUGUGUCGCUAAGCUUUUUUGUAUGGUAAAACCAACUUUUUUGAAGACUACAUCCAUAGAUCUAGGGAUAUAACAGUGCUAUGCAUGAUUCAUUGUACUUUAUUAAAAAGUUUCACCGCAUCCAGCGCAAGGAAACGAAACGUAUCAAACACAAAUGAUAUAAACACGUGUUGAUUUUCCAUGCACGAUUUCUCAUGUUUUGUGAUCUUGCAUGUAGCAGCUUUUAAAGCAACCUGUGCCGAUUUGAAAUCCCCGGCCAUCAAGCCCACGAGAGGGGAACCCUGUAAGGUCCACACAUGUGUGAUUCCUUCCAACCCAUCAAAAUAUCAAAAUGGCAGCCGGUCUAAGGAUUGACUUUCCUUCUGUAGGGUUAGUCAAGAAAUUCAUAGGUGUCUCUUUGAUGGAGAAAACACCGGCACACUUAAAUAUGUUGAACAAAGCAUCCCUAACCAUAUCAUACAUGUAUUUGAACCACGAGAGUUCUUUACAAUGAACUGCAUGCUCUCGAAAAGAGUUCAAAUACGACUUGUGGCACCUCAUACAUAUCUCGUCAUCUGGAAAUAUUGGGAUCAUGAGCUGAUAUUUAAGGAUAGUACGAUACUCCACAGGAGACAUAUGUUGACCAAGCCCAUCUAUAGGGAUAGCUAGAAGAAAAUCUUGAGCAUGUGGUGCACAUAAACACUGGAAAACAGCUUUUUGCCAAGCCGUCAUGUCGAAAUGCACUUCCAUAUCUUGGAGAAUUUUACUACAAAGGGCACUCACUAGUGUAUUAUAGGAUUUAGGGGGUGUCCUUAGUAGUAAAACUGCUAAGGUCAAUGUCUAGAAGCUUGUUACGAAGAGAAGCCAAUGCACAAGCAUAAUCAGAAUCCAUACCAUAUAUGUUGAUAUCUCGUAAGAUGUGGUCUUGCAACACCCAAGAUAAGGCCCUUAAGUCAACAAAAGCAUAUGAGGUUACCUCUACUACCAACUAUAAAACCAAAGCACCAAACCUAAUUGGUAGGGUAUCAAUUCAUUACUGUAUGUCGCCAAAAAAAGGGCCACCACAAACCACAAUGUCCUCCUUGUGAACGGGUUGGCACGUCCUUAGCCCAAAAAAAAGGUUAGCAAUACCCAUACAAGAACGAAGCAGAAGGAGCUCACUAUGGGGUCAGAUAAUUGUGGAAGAAGACACGUCACAUUUACAAAAAAUUUUGCUCUUUUUAUGGCUAAGCUGCUAAUGAAACUAGCAUCUCUACUAGCAGCUCCCCUAAGAAGUUUCACCCCUAAUGGCGGCCUCCUAAUCCCACCGGGAAUACCCCAUCACGAAGCUUCCUACCAUCACACGAUGGCCAAAAGAGCUUGGUUGUCUUGAUAUUCAACUAAAGGCCCAAUUCUAGGCCAAUCCCCUUAAUGAUGUCCAACACUUUGGCCACGUCCUCCAUAUCUCCAAUAAGUAUGUCAUCAUCAAGAUACCAUGCAUGGAGAAGAAGCUUGUGAUUGUCUCUAAUGUUAUGCAAGAGUGGGUGCAGUACAACGGAAAAAAAACAAUAGUCCUAAGGGUUCUCCUUGUUGAACCCUAGUAGUAGACCAAAUAUAUGUGUCUCCUAGAUACAACCUAGAUGCUUGACCAUGUAGGAAUUCUACCCACAAGGAUUUAGAAGGGCACCUCAAUCUGACCUCAUGAAGUAAUGUGGAUCCGUCCACAUGGUUAAAGGUAUUGGACAAGUCCAAAAAAGCAUGGAAAGAGACACGACAUCGUAGCGCUCACUCACCACCAUGUUGGCGCUAUGUAAUCAGCCUUAACACCACCCAACACCCCGACCCCGAACUGAAAAUCAUGGAGAUACUUGGCCAUUUCUUUACUAAUAACUUUCAUAGCCAACUUGGAAACCAAAAGUCUCCAUAUAAUUCCUAAUGCAAUAGGAUGUAUUCCCAUAUCAGGUUUUAAGAGUGGUGUGAGAGGAGCAGAGACAACAAAUUCUGCCAAACUCGAUGGACAUCUUCCCCUAGCUAUAAAUUAACCACAUAUGUAAUAACACUUAGGAUCUCUUUGGCUAUAGUUGAACUUCUCCACAAAGAGCAUCCAAAAUGUGUUGAUCUCUCAACCCAUCUCUCACACACGAGGUUCCUUUAGGAAAUGAUGCCCCCAAGGACAUUGCCAAUAUCCACUAAAAUGGGAGGUUUUGAAAAUAUGGUACUCAACGUGGAUGGUGAUGGCUUGUAUGGAUGUUUAUCCUCCAAAGCUUUUGUGGUAUCAUCCUCGUGUGGAGUAUUAGAAAAUUGAAGUGUGAUUUGUAUAUAAUUAUAGUAGAGGGUUAUGAGUGUAAAUAUAUCUCUUAUAUAUAUAUAUAUAUGUAUAUAUAUAUAUAUAUACACACUCUUAUUGUAAUCGUGGAUAUAUAAUAUACAACAUUACUGAUUACCAAAAUCAACUUUGUAUCAGAGCCUUACGUUGUACCCUAAAAAACACUGAUGAAAAGAAAACAAAAGAAAGAGACCAUCAAAAUCAAACAACCAAUCAAGCCUAUAGUGCUUCCCUCUCUUGCUUAUGUCGAUUUGCACCACAGUGUCGCCACCUACAAAAACAUCCAAUUUCUAUUUUUUUUAUUCUUUCUGUUGCUAAUCAAUAACACUUACAACUUUUACCCCAAAAAACAAAACUCUCCCUUGUCCCCAUAAGUUUUGUUUCACUCUAUUACCAAUUAUAGUUACUGGAAGGCGAUGUUCCAACCAUACCUUCUCACCAACAACUUGUUCAGUUAUAUUGAUUGCACAAUUCCCUGUCCACUGAUUAUUAUCCCAUCUUCAUCAUCAAGAAAAGACAAAUAUGACACAAUACACCCCCACAACAAAACGCUGAUUACAACACAUGAGUUUCCAAUGAUGCUUACGUCCUUAUGCUUCUCGUUUCUACCAUCUAUGAGGCAUUAUUCUAACAUGCUCUAGGCAACACCUCUCAUGAUAUUUGGCUAUCUCUUGAAUGAGAAUAUGCACCUCACACUUUCUCUAGGGAAUACACCCUGAAAACUCACCUGGGCUCUACAUACCUAACACGAGCUCAAGAAUAUUCUAAUGCACUUGCCAAUAUAGGUGAACCAAUGAAAGAAAAAGAUUUAGUGAUGCUAGUUAUCUCGGGUCUAAGAGAAGAAUACAACAAGUUGAAGUCAACCCAUCUUGGUCGUCAAUUCCCAACUGCCUUUGUAGAACUUCAUGGCUUGAUAUCAGACCAUGAUUACAUGAUCAUGAAAUCAACAACAAACAUCUCUCUGGAUCAAGAUUUCACGGCUGUCACAAACAGUCACACCUCAUCCAUUCGUGGUGCUACCUCUUCCACUCCUUAGCUGGAUCAACCACACACUAUUUAGCAACUUUUUUCGCAACAUGGCCUUCAAGUUCAAUCUGUUCAUGCACAACCUGCUUAAGCCUUCCACACCAACAUAUCCAGAAAUAAUUGUGGUCAUGGACGUGACUCUAGACGUGGAAGAGGAACUACAACAACAUAAAUCAAGGAUUAGGUAACCAUAAUCAAUUUAAUUAGGCUUCUAAUCAAAACCCUGUUUUUUGGCACAUGCAACAGGUGUGGGAUUGGUCACAUCCUGUCACAAUUCCCUAACCGUGAUCCAACAACCUUGAGAACAAGACAAUGACCUUCAGCUAACUUUACAAACUACCGCUCACAAAUGAUAUUCUCUUGGCUCCCAGACAUGGGCUCUAGACAAUAUAUUACACAAGACCUAUCAACUUUCAAUAAUUUUGAGGCCUGGUGUAACAUUCCGUUUAAAAUAAAAUAAAUAAGUAAAUAAAUAAAUAAUAAGGCCUAAAACCCUGAUAUGUAUCCUCAAUUUUAUUUUAUUUUAGACCUAAAUCUGUAAUAAUUUAUCAGUGUUGUCCAUAUGGUGUUAAAUGAUAUAAUUUCCAGAAUUUGGGGUUUAUAUUGUAACAUUAGGACUUGAAAUGUAAAGGAGUUUGUGAAGCAGGGGCUGUGUCGUAAUCAGUGGGUUUAAAUUGAAAAUGAGUUGUAGUAGUAGGAAGCGAUCUUGUAGAAAUGUAUUCAAGUUUGGAAUUGGAGUUGGGGACUUAAACUCGUCGUUCCCUCCUGCCUUUCAUAUAGAGCAGCCGCCACAUGCUAUACUCCAACCGCCGCCACCCCAUUCGCUUGCCGUUCCGAUCAACCAAGACCACCGGUGGACCCUUACGGUUGGCAAAAUCAUGAACGAUCAAGCACCACUAUUUCUCUUGCUUCCGCUGCCGACGAAGGUGAUAUCUGGUAGCUAGCAUCGUGCUAGUCGGGGAGAUUAGGAAACGAAGUCGUGGCGGCUACUGUUGCUGUCAACGAAGGUGAAGCUUGACUUGUGGACGCUAUUUCUAUAGGAAUUUGGAAGAGCAUGUCUAAGGUUGCUUUUGUUUCUAUCCGGUACUAGCGCAACCCGCUUCCCUUCAUCCCUCUUCGUUUCUAUCGUCGCUGCUUUGCACCCAUUGUUGUCGCCGCUCCGACGGUUGUCCCAUCGCCAACAUUCUUUCAGCAUUCGUAUGGCAUCAUUAGUGGGUAGUUGUGUUGAGUGUGAAUCUACAUGUGGGUGUAUGUAUUUCAGUGUACAUCGGCGUGUAUGUGUGUUGGUUGGCCGGAAAACCAACGAAAACCCCCACCACCACCGUGAGGUGGUGGCUGCCACCUCCUACCACCAUCUUGGUUGUUGUAUUGAACAUUUUGGUUUUAUUUCUAAUGCUAGUGUGUGUAUGAAUGAUGUAGGAACUUUAUGUGUGCUUGGAUUAUUAGAAUUGUCACUUGAAACCGUCGCCCCCGCCGUAUGUAGUUGGGUGGUUGCCGCCACGGACCGCCACCAACCACCAUUGCCCAUGGUGGCGUUGGGUGGUGCACGAUUUAUUAAACAUUAAAUUACCUAAACAUCCAACUUUAGACCGAGUGGCACGCGUUUGGAUUAGAAACCCUAAUUAGUGUCUAGAAAACCCUAAUGUCAAAGAAAACCCUAGUUUUGGAGUUAGUCGGUACCCGUGUUAAAACUGUUAAUUAAACUUUAAAUAAUACUUAAUAAUGUCCUAGAAUUAACUUAAUGCAAUAUUGGAAUUAAUGAAUUAAUUCCUUAAGGGGUUUUAGUGUGGAACACUAACCCUAUUUAUCAUUUUAUGUGGAAACCCUAGAAUCGGGGAGCUUUAUUUUGAACAAUGAUCGGGCGCGUAUUUGGGAUAUUGAUUGGAUUAUUAUUAUUAUACCCGAGGAUGACUAAGUUAAACAUUAAUCAGUCCUACCCUUAUGUGAUUAUGUCCUUAAUGAGUUAAGUGUUCUUAUUUAACCCUAAUCGUCAUUUCAUGUGAGGUGGUCACUGUUACAAGUGACUAUGACUUAUGAUCGGGUAUUGACUCAAGUAUCGACAUGUCGGUGAUUGGAAGUGAUUUGAAGCUGGUAGAGUUCUUCAUUGGUACAGUGGUUACCUACACACUUUUCAAGGUGAGUUUCGCUUCAUUGUACCCGUAGGUCGAAGGCACCAAUGUCAACCCACUAGUUUUUGUUAUCUGGUAGUAGAUACAUUCCUUAGGGAUCUGUUAGAUCUUUGUUAUGGUAUCGAGUAUGCUGCUAUGCUGUAGUGAUAUGUUAAAUAUGUUUUCUAGUAUCGAGAAUGUUGCUAUGCUGUAGUAAUCUAUAAGACUGUAUGUAUAUGUGCUUGCUGGUUAUCAUCUAUGGAGUGCCCUUAGGAAUUGUCUGUUGUCAUGUAUGAUAGCCUGAGAACUCUUGGUCUAGGCUCUCUUGCCUAUUCCUUAUUUGGUUGUGGCUUUAGAGUAGGACCAUCUGUUCAGGUGGCUAUCUCACCUCUGGUUACUUAUGGUUACACAUUCUAUGGAGGUUAGCUCGUAUUAGGGUUGUAUGUUGUCAGAGGACCAGUAGGCGGUAAUGACCUGUAUGAUUGUUGUUUACCUAUAUUAUGUGCCUACUUGAUCCAGAUUGUUUAUAUGUCGACAUAUUGUGUUUGGUUUGGGUUGAGGCGGUCCUGCUCUGUGUGGUAGGCCAAGAUACCCAGUGUGGGCCGACUAUAAGCCGUAGGCACAAAGGCUCGAGAGGAGCGGUUUGGGUUGAGGCCAACCAAUGUAGACUAAAGGCCAAAAGACCCAGGGCGUCCCGAAUAGACUGCAGGACGUUAGGCCGAAGGCCCAGAGAACGGUCCAGAUAGGAUGAAGGCCCCAUGAGGCGUUCCAGUCAUGUUGACGGUUCUGUGAGCGUUCCGGAUAGUUUGUAGGCCGGUGUGGCGUUCCAGUCAAGCUGAAGGCUCUGUAUGCAUGAUGUUGGUUAUUAUGUUUAUGUGGUAGUAUUUUGGGGGAAACUCAUUAAGCUUUAUGUUUAUCCAAUUGUUUAUUGUUUCAGGUAGCGGGAAGGCAAAGGUGGGACUGUACACACUCAUCAACAACUUUGAAGAUUCCGUGUUUCCUAUAAUAAUAUGAUAUUAACAAAUUUAAUUUUGAAUAAAUGGCUUUUCUUAAAUAAUGGAUUAAUAAAUUGGGAAUCUUACCUUAAUAAAAAUGAAAAAUUUUGUUGUGAAAAUGGGACGUUACACCUACUAUGGUGAUGAUAAUCUUCACAAUGAAAAUAGUAACGAUUUACCCAUUCUACAUAUUGGUUCGUCACAAUAUUACUCGCCAAACAAAACCUUCACCCUUAAAGACAUACUUCAUCUUCCUUAAAUAAAACAAAACCUCAUUUUUGUCCAAAACUUUUGUCUUGAUAAUCAUGUGUACUUCGAAUUUCACUCAUAUUUCUUUUUUGCAAAGGAAAUGCUUACAUGCAAUAUCCUCCUCAUGGGUUCAUGUAAUGGCGGUCUCUACUCCUUUCAUCUUCCUCAAACAUAACCUAUUCACAAAAUAGCGUUUUCUACCAACCGUUCUCCAUCCACCACAUGGAACCAAAGACUUGGACAUCCACAUCAACAACUCUUGAAGUCCAUGUUAUCUAAAUAACAUUUACCUUUACAAAAUAAGUGUGAUAGUACUUUUUAUGAUUCGUGUCAUUUUGGUAAAUCGUCUAAACUUCAUCUAUCACCAUCUAUUUACGAAAUUUCACACAUUUUAGAUUUAUAUUUCCUGUAAUGUAUGGGGCCCGACUUUUGUUACCUCUUAUGAUGGUCACAAAUAUUUUAUGUUGUGUGUUGAUCAUUAUUCUUGCUUUAUGUGGAUUUUUUCAUUAAAACUAAAAUCUGACAUUUAUACUACUUUUAAACGAUUCCUUGUGAUGGUUGAACGACAAUUUCAAACCAAACUAAAAUUCGUCCAAACCGAUUGAGGAGGCGAGUUUCGAAAUCUCUUGCAAUUUUUCUCUCCUCUCGCCAUUACUCAUCGCCUUUCGUGUCCGCAUACUAGUGAACAAAAUGGUUUUGUUGAGUGACGACAUCAGCAUGCUGUCAAAACCGAUCUUACUCUUCUCAUUCAAUCCAAUGUUCCUCAAUGGUUUUGGCAUUUUUCUUUUGACAACACAACAUAUCUUAUUAACCGAAUACCAUCCUAUACAAACUCCAACACCUCACCCUUUGAACAUAAACCCAAUUUUUCCUUUCUUUGGGUUUUUGGAUGUCAGUGUUUUCCUCAUCUCCGUCCAUGCAAAAAACACAAAAUCGACUUUUGUUCUACACCUUGUGUGUUUCUUGCUUACAACACUGCUCAUCAUGGCUAUCUGUGUUUAGGCCCACAAUCUGAUCACAUAUAUGUGGCACGUCAUGUUCAACUUAAUGAGAAAUCCUUCCCUUUUCAAAGACCUCCUAUAAUCACUUCGUCUACAACCACUUCAAAUCUCUAUAUCUCAAUCUAUCCAAAUCCUACCUUACCACCCAUCGUCUUACCAUCCACAACACCUAUUGCACAAUCUGACCCAAUAGAUAUGACACCUCCCACCACUUCCCCUCAUGAACAACCCACGACCAAACCACCAUUAAUUCACACAUAUCACCGCCUUUUCCCAAAACACUAAUCCACCACUUUCGCUUAUACCUACUGCUCCUUUUUAUAACACCAAACAACCUACACGUACUCGAACCACCAAUCUAUGCUACAAUCCAAAACUAACCAAACCCUAUGUUUCCACCUCCUACCAUACCAAAUACACACCGAACCAACAACCUUUACGAUUACUAAUAUGGAUCUUAAGUGGUGCAGUGCCAUGGAAGAAGAGUAUUCAGCCCUAAUGCAAAAUGCUACCUAGAUGUUAGUGCCAUGUGUUCCAAAUUCCAAUGUUGUUUAUUGCAAAUGGGUAUAAAAAUUAAAAAAGGGAUCAAAUAGGGGCGAUUAAACGUUACAAGGCAUGACUAGUAGCAAAAGGGUUUCGGCAAGAAUCGAGCAUUGAUUAUCAGGAGUUGUUCAAUUUCGUAGUAAAAUCGACAACUAUUUGUGUUGUCUAUCUCUAUUCGUAACACAUAAAUGGUCCUUAAGGAAAUUCGAUUUACAAAAUGCCUUCUUACACGGUAAUCUCACUAAGACAAUUUAUUUGCAACAACUCCAUGGGUUUGUUAACUCGACCAUACCGUAUCAAGUUUGCUUGCUUCACAAGUCCUUAUAUGGAUUAAAGCAAGCCCCUAGAGUGUGGUUCCACCAUCUAUCUACAGUACUUUAUUCCCUUGGUUUUAAGGGUUCCAAGAUGAAUCCGUCCUUGUUUAUUUACUCUCAUCGAGGAAAACUUUUAUACAUGCUUUUCUAUGUUGAUGACAUUAUAUUUACAUGAAACAACUCGCACGCGAUUAAUAAAGUGGUAAAGAGUAUUAGCCAAUCUUUUGUUGUUCAGGAUAUGGGUUGUUUCGAUAUUGAAGUCACUCAUCAGGAUCAUGAAAUUGUUAUAUCACAAAGAAAGCACAUCCUUGAACUCUUACAACGUGUAGGUUUGUCUGAUGCUAAACGGGUCUCAUCUCCUAUGACCAGUAAUGCAAAUCUUGCUCUUGGUGACAUUUCCAAGUUUGAUAAUAUGGUCAAAUAUCGUCAAUUAGUAGGAUCUCUUCAGUAUAUCACAUUGUCUCGUAUGAAUAAUACCUUCGCAGUUAACAAAGUCUACUAGUUUAUGCACUCCCCCACUGAGAAUCAUUAGUUAGCAGUCAAAUGAAUUCUUCGUUACUUACAUGGCACCGUUGACUAUGGUUUGUGCCUUAAGCAUGAUUCGAGUACCAUCCUCCAUGUCUAUACUGAUUCAACUUAAAACUCACUGAUCGGCUUCUUUGAUGCUAACUGGGCUGGUUUCCAAGACGAUCGUCGAUCCACUGGGAGAUAUGCUAUCUACCUAGGUUCCAAACUAGUAUCAUUGUCUAGCCGAAAACAACAGACUGUAUCUCGAUCGCCAACAAAGUUUGAAUACAAGGCCCUAGCCGAUACCGUUGCUGAACUCACAUGGCUCAAAACUCUAUUAUGAAAAGUUCAAGUUCCUGUUAAGUCGGAUCCUAUGUUGUGGUGUGAUAAUCUUGGUGCUACGUAUCUUUCAGCUAAUCCUAUCUUUCAUGCACGUACAAAACAUUUUGAACUUGAUUUUCACUUUGUCCGAGAAAAGGUGGUCCAAUGGAAGCUUUCAGUUCACUUUAUAUCUAUGGAUGAUCAGAUUGUAGAUGCGUUCACCAAGCCACUGCCCUCACAACGGCUUCUCUUAUUACAAUCCAAGCUACAGGUCGCUCCCCCGCCUUAGCUAGUGGGGGAAUAUUAGAUAGCUAAAGUGUGAUAUGUAUAUAAUUAUAUUAGAGGGUUAUGAGUGUAAAUGUAUCUCUUAUAUAUAUAUAUAUAUAUAUAUNUAUAUUCUUAUUGUAAUCAUGGAUAUACAAUAUACAACAUUACUAAAUACCAAAGUCAACUUGGAGCAACCCCCAAAGAACAUAAUCUAAAAUGUUAGCACUACCAACCCUCUACCCGUAUGGAGCAACCCCUUUGCGGUGGCCCAUUUUUAUUGUUUUUUUGAAGUAAGCUGAUGAAUCAUGUUGAAGAAACACUUGAAUCGACAAAUGAUCGAUGAUCAACAAAUUGAAAACAAAAUUGGAAGAUCUAAAUAAUAUAGCUCGUUGGAAUGUAAUUCUCUUUGAUUUGGCAAAAAAAAUUGUUACAGGGUCAAAUCUGUCAAAUUGUUGAAUAUGAACUUAUGAUCCAAGGUACAUGUUACUUACUUUAGGAAGAACAAGUUACAUUAUUCUUAUCUUCUUUAGAAAUGAGUAUAGAAACACACGACAUACAAAUAUUGAGUUAGCUUGAUUAUGUCGCUUUCUACAUGAAGUUUCUGUUACCGGUCUUACGCAUGCUCAUCUUAAAUGUGAAAUCCAAGAAUCCAUCUAUAUUUCAAAAGAUCUGGUUUUUCUAGAACAUCAUCUAGAAUUAGACUGUCAUUUUGUUCAAGAAAAGUUGCAAGAGGGGCUUAUUUAUCCAUUGCUCAGUACCAUGUCCCAUCUCAGUCUCAGUUAGCCACAACUCUACUAAAAAACUUCCUAAUAAACAACAUUAUCAAUUAACUUCACAAGUUGGGAGUUAGUCAUUCUCCCACUUGAGGGGGUGUUGCUAAAAGUAGUGAGUUCAUAGUCAUUUUAUGUAGCUGAUGGUCCAUUCAAGUUACUUUAUAUAAUUGAUGGUUAAUGUAGUGUGUUAGUUGGUUGGUUAUUAUUCAUGUUACUUUAUAUAAUUGAUGGUUGAUGUAGUGUGUUAGUUGGUUGGUUAUUAUUCAUGUUACUUUAUAUAAUUGAUGGUUAAUGUAGUGUGUUAGUUGGUUGGUUAUUACUAGGAAGAGGGUUGUUAGUGCUAACAUUUAGAUCUAUAAAAGGAUGAGUAUGUAUCUAUCUUACACUUGAUCAUUGAUACUUCAUUUUCACAGUUAUACUUUUCUCUUUGUUUAUUUUCUUCAUUUGCUCCUCUUUUCCAUCAAAAUCAACAUCUAUAUGGAGGGAACUUUUUCUUAAUGUGCAAUAUUAAUAUGUGUUUGAUGAAAUGCCUAAGAGAUGAAUUGAUGGAGCUUUUACUUAAUUUUGUUUAAUUGAACAUCAAUUUAGAAUGGUUGGACAAGUUCUAGCUCUGUUAUCAAGUAUGUCCAACUCAACACAUACCAACAUCCAAGCUAUGGAUUAUUUAUGACAUAAACAUUAUUAUCAUUUAACAGCCCAAAGGGAAUAGAUUUUCUUAUAUUGUUAUGGUAUAUUAUGUAAACUAUCAGAAAAAAUUAACUACUAUUAGCAAGGAAUGUUUUGGGCCAGACAUUAUUAUUGUUUUCACAUCCUGCAAAUAAUACAAAUAAAACAUAGAUGAGAAUCACCCAUGAAAAUGAGCUACAACAAUGUUAGUGCGUUCACCAAUUCUAAAUGUUGGGGUUUGUUAAAUUCCCUGAGAUGAUGCGAAUCAAAUCCAUAUAUGUAAUAUAAAAUUUAGAAGAAUAUAAAAGUAUUAUUAAAAGUUAAUAAGACUGCGACACAAAAUUUUCCAUUACAAUUUUAUAAUUCAUACCCUCACUACCCGCGUGGUCGAUUCUCACAUAACUCCUGGAUUCGACAUGCACCGUACAAUGCCUUCCAUAACUGUAUUAUUGUUUGUUUCUCAUAUUUUCCAAAAUUGAUUACUUUAUACAUCUUUAGAAUUCCUUUGCAGAUCACAUUUGGUGAUGAAUUCUUUCUCUUAGGGUCCUUAUUUAUCUUCAAAUAUUAGUUAUAGAAUAAGUGACAAGUUUUUUUUUAGUAGAAUUAGAAGUACCUUAAAACGUCAAUCAAAUUGUUAGGCAUAUUCAAUUUUGUUUGCACAUUACAUUUCGUAAUCAAGUCUUUCUCGUAGGGUCUUUAUCUUCACAUAUUAGCGACACUAUGAGGAACAUAUUUUUUAGGGAAUUAGAAGUGCCUUAUAACUUCAAUCAAAUUAUUAGGGCAUAUUCAAUUUUCUUUUCCAAGUAAUUCUAACAAAAGUUUCAUUCUAACAAAAAUGUACUUAUCAAAUUGAUCAUAUUGUGUAAAGUUGCUUUUUGAAAUCAAUUUGGUUUCAUUAUUAUUGUUUUAUAUUUCAAACAAAACUAAUUUUAGAAAGAGAAAUCUCCAAUAAAGUCCCAAUAUUUUGGGUGAAUUUACGAUUUAAUCUCAAAUUAAAUUUUGUUUACAAAAAAUGACAAAAUCCCGGCUAAAACUACAGAAUAACCCUUUGUGGCCGGUUUCGCAGAUUUAGCCGGUACUGUGGGUUUUUUCGUUAAUUGAUUAGAAUUUUGGGGCUUUUUCGUUAAUUGAUCAAUUACCCUUAAACUUAUUGUAAAUUUCACUCGUCCGCGUCUCAAACUACUACUCCUUUUUGUUUUUCACUUUUUCGUAUCCACCUCUCCAAGUUGUACUCUUUCAACUUAUUUAGUGUUUUAAUCUAGCACAAAACGAAAUACGUCUAAGGUCUAUACUCUAAACCAAUCAACCUGAAACAAAAUAAAUUGAUUGACAUAAAAAUAAACGGGUUGAAUCAUGCACUUCAACAUGCUCAUGUUAAACUUGUACCUCAAUUUGCCAAGGACAGUAGCAAUAUCUUGGAAGCAACUAGUCUUGCCUUGGAUAGUCCAUAAAACAAAGAUUCGUUUGAAUUUUCAUACCCUCAUUUCACACACGUACACACAUGUUCCAGAUUAGAAACUUUUAUGUGUGUGUGUGCAUAUAAAAAGGAAAGACAUAGAUCUAUCUGAGGGGUGUGUGUAUGUAUCCUUUAUCGCAUCCUUCCCAAUUUUGCAAUAGAUAGAAAGAAACAGUGGGAGAAAGAGGGCACAUGGAAUAAGGUUUUAAACAACCAAUAGAAUGAAGAAGAAAACGAGUAUUAACGAGAAAGGUUAUUCCAUAGAUUUAAGUAUACCUGAUUAGUAUUAUUAUGUAUGUGUUGUGGUUAUCUCAAUACUUAAACCAAUAAUGAAAUCAAAAGAAAAUACAAAAUAUUUUUGUAUGAAUUUCAUCUUGCAAUCAUGGAGCACUCUAUCUUCAGUAAAGAUUUUCAGACAAGUUUAUGAAGUUUGGUAACUUUGUGGAUUGUAUAGAUAGUUUUUUUUUAAUAAAUUUCUUGACUUUAAAAUUGAAUAUCUAACGUUGUAUAAAAAGAUAUGAAAAAAUUCACUCAUUUAAAAAGAAAACCCUUUUUAAUAUAUUGAUAAAAAUGGUUAUUCCAAAGUUUUAGCUGAAUUAACGAAAAAAUCCCAAUAUUUUGACGAAAUAGUGAAAAAAGUCGGAAUACCGGCUAAAUCUGCAAAACCGGCCACAAAGGGUUAUUCCGAAGUUCUAGCCGGUAUUAUGUCCUUUUUGUAAACAAAAUUUAAUUUGAGAUUAAACCAUAAACUGACCUAAAAUAUUAUGCCUUUCUUGGAGAUUUCCUUUUUAGAAAACACAAAAUUUAACUUUUUAAGCCAAAACUUUAUGACAAAAAAUUGCUUACUUGGAGACUAUAUAGACCAAUGACAAAGUCAAGUGGAGUGUGUUGUACUUCAUACAUUAAUGUUCAUGGGUCCACACUAUGUUAAUGGGUCAAUGGAGACGGAGAAGAGUUCCAAUGGUCUUUCACAAGAAUCUAAAAUAAAUCAAUGGACCUUGCGCAUUCAUUAAAGUGUGAAAUCUAAAAUAAAUCAAUGGACCUUGCGCAUUCAUUAAACGUGUGAACAGAGGAAUACAUAAGAUUUAGUGAUUUUUUUAAAUAAGCAAAAAGAAUGACAAAAAUGAUGUCACUUCAUAAAAAAUGCAAUUAUAUUAAAAAAAAAAUUUGAAGCACAGAGCUAGUAGAAAAAAAGAAACAAAAAACAACUUCUAGUGCAUCAACUCUCAGGAACCCGUUCAUGUCAAAUGAGCUGUCAGCAUAACUAAUCCCAUAUCUCGUAAAUUACCGUAUACACCUAUUCUCGUAAAUCACCACAUAACCAUCAUUAAUUACGAUAAUCAAGACCCACUAUUUGUUAAUUCUAUCUAAGAACAUUGGGUAUGGGCCGGUGUUAUAACGUCAUCUUACAUGCCACAUCAACCUUAACACCAUCAUAACGACCAUAACACCAUGUAGGAAAUAAUGUUUCAAUGUUACAACUUGUUAAAAGGUAGAAAAAGGUAGAGAGAGAAAGAGAGAAGGAUGAAGAAAAAUGAUUUUGAUUGGUUCUCAUUCCCGUUUUAAUAAGUUGUGACGAGCACGAGAAGUGCCAUAACGAGAAGAAACGAGAAGGGGGGGGGNGCGGUGUUCCCCCGUCACGACGGCGUUUUCGUGUGUCACAUUAUCCGGUUGCUUCUCAUUAUUGGCCCAUACCGCAUCGUCUAAAGGUUGUUACUUAGUCUAUUUUUACAAUAGCACGACCUUCACCUAUUAAACAUAAAAACUUACAAACAUUACCAAUUAAUCCCCAAACCCGAAACCCCAAUCCAAUUUAAUAUUUAGGUUAAUGUAAAUAAACCUAAAUAACUAGAAUGCGAUUACAAUUAUUUCCUUUUAAAUAAAUGAUGAAGCAGGACCAUUCCAAAUGUAUUUGGGCCCAGAACCAUAAAGGAAAAAAGACCCUUAAAAUAUACAAAUUUUAUUAACCUUUCUAUAAUAACUCAAUAAUUGAAAGAUAAAUUAUUUAUACUGGCGUCUAAAUAUAAUAUUUUCGAUUAUAAAAAUCCAAAUAUUUAAAGAAAUAUAAUUUUUCUAGCUUUUUUAGAUGCAAAAUUAUUAAUGACUACGCGAAUCCUCGCGCGUUGCGCGAGAAUAGAAUUAUAUAGUUAAAAUAAUAACUUUUACCUAGGGGUGUAAGUGAGCCGAACUACUCGUGAGCUACUCGGGAUUGACUCGUUAAAAGCUCGACUCGAGAUCGAAUUAAACGAGCCUGAUUCNACAUUUCUUGCCAUUUUUGGCGAAUAAUAACACUUAUUCAAAUCUAAUGUAAACCCACUAUUUAGCAUUAAGGAAUAAACUCCUAUCUUGGUGACAGGUGAAGCUUUCUUGUUUCCCAUGAUCAAGUUUAUCUUUCCCUGCUCCACAUUCUCACUUCUUCUUAGUCCCUGCAAAUCACAACAUAUGUGAAUACCACAACCUGUGUCAAGGACCCAAGACUUAGAAUGAGGUGAGUUAUUAGAAAAUAUAGUGUAUAUACUUGCAUGGUUGGGUUUUACUUUCCCAUCCUUUAAAUCUUGUUGGUACUUUGGGCAGUUUCGCUUCCAGUGCGACUUUUCAUGACAAUAGAAGCAUUCAGCCUCAUUAGGGUUAGCAGAAGGAGUGACAAAACCUUUCUUGGUUUUGCUUGAAGAGGAUCCUUCAAGGGUCUUACCCUUGGUACCCUUAGAAGGGUUCUUUCUCUUCUUCCCUUUCCAUGGCCGAUUGCCAAGACAUUGGCCGCAGUUGGAGUAGGAGUAGGACUAGUAACAACCGACUUACCCUUUAGACCACUUUCGGCGGUCUUCAGGAGUCCUUGAAGUUUGCUGAGGGUGACUUCUUCCUUGUUCAUGUGAUAUGUCAUGCGGAAUUGAUCAUAACACGAUGGUAAGGAGUGCAAAAUGAUGUCUAAGGAAGUUUACAUUCAGCUUCAGUAAACGGUCCACAUACCUUUGCAUUUUCUGCAUGUGGCCCGUGAUGGGUUCACCAUCCCUCAUUCGGUUUGUUAUCAUGGAGGAGAUUAUUUCAUAUCGCUCUUUACAAGCACUUUGAUGGUAGCGUUCCAUCAAGUCCUGGUGCAUCUCAAAAGUAUAAUAGUCCUCAUAGGACUUUUGGAGCUCGGCUGUCAUGGUGGCCAUCAUGAUGCAUGCAACUUUUGUAGCAUCUCUUUCAUGUACCUCAUAUUCAACAAGCUCUUCAGUAGUAGUAGUUGACUCGGGUACCUUUAGCUCCUUGUCGAGAACAUAUUCUUUGUUCUCAUACCGAGUGACCAUCCUGAUGUUUCUGAUCCAAUCAGUAAAGUUGGAUCCAACAAAGAUGACUCUCCCACAAAGAUUCAUGAGAGAGAAGGAGCUAGUAGGGUUUGAGCCAGAAGCAUUGUUAUUGGAAGACAUCUGAAAAGAAGAGGGAAUAGAUUAGAUUAGAUUUAGAGAUAGUCCUUAAUAAAACACCCAAAUGUAGUAUUAAGGCUAGAACCCAACACAAUACUUUAUAACUUAGAAGAGGGAUGCAGUAAUCUAAGCUAUAAUAUAUUUGAAGGUUGGUGAGUGACGAUUCACCAAUUUCCACCAUGAAAAACGAAAUAUUUAANUCUCGUAAAUGUCAUAUGUAAUUCUUGUCAUAGUAAUAUGGAUAAAUUAGUUUCAUAUGAAUAACAUAUCAUGAUAAGUCUAUCAUAAUUACAUAUCAAAUGUUCAAAAUUAUGUUAUCUUUUAAAUAUUGUCUUUUAAAUAUGUUGUGCAGAAUAACCCUACAAAAAAAUAAUAGACAAUAAACAUAAUCAAAAUAGAAAAACUACAAUCAAAUAAAUAAAAGCAUUGGGUAGGCCUGUCGAAAAAACCUGAAACCCGUUCUACCCACCUGACCUGUUCCGAAUUCGGGUAGAACGGGUAACAUGUAUGAACAUUCAGGUAACAGGUUAACCCCAUAAUAGUAUAGGUCGGGUUUUAGGUAUGAAUAUUUAUUUUUGGGUAUACCCGAAUACCCAAAUUUGUUUUUUAAAUAAUAUCAAAUAUACAAUGCAGUCACGUACGCACACUUCAAAUAAAACAAAACCCUUCGUUUCCUUAUUAUGAACGACGGCUCGAAAGUCGACGCAAACUUGCAAAGUGAAUACGAUGUUGAAGCUGAAGUCCUGAACCGUCAUCACAAUUCUCAGUUUAUCACUAUCGCACGAAAUGGAAUUAAAAAAAUACGUAACAUAUUAUAAUGAUUUGUAUUGUUAUUAAAUAAGUACUUGUUAAUUGUAUGGAGUAUUUUCCUACCCGAAUCUUUAUUAAACCAACCAACAUGUGAAAAUAAAAAAAAUAAAAAUUAACAAAAAUUAUCAAUAACUGUCAUUUAUGAAAUUUUCGGGUGUACCCGAUAAUUACCCGACCCGACCUCAAACCCGUAUAACCGAAACCCGAAAACCCGAAUUACAAUAUAGUUCUGGUAUCAGGUAUUAUUUUCUUAAGAAAAUACCAGUUCUACCCGAAACCCAAAAAUUUUACCCGUUCGACACCCCUAGCAUUGGGUGGUUGAAUAUAUAAAUAAAUAUGUUACAUAAACAUACAUUUAAUUCAAAAGAAAAAACUAACAAUCGUCAACUUUGCUCAAACAGAAAAACCUAUAUCCAUUUUAUGAAUCUUUUUUCUUCAUUUAACAUCAUUCAACCAUAGAAACUUGAUGACAAUUCUUUACUAACAUGCAAUCAAAAUAUUUUUCUUGAAAAAGAAGAAUGAGAAAGAUAUUCCAAGCAAAACAUUGAUGUUUUGAGAGUCACAUUCAAGAUUGAGUAAUACACACAAAUCACAUAUAAAUAUUAAAUGAGAAACUAAAUAUAAAGAAAGAAUUGAAAAGCUUCAUUUGUUUUGGUUGAAAGAUAAAAUCAUAUUACAAAUAUCAUCGAUGCGAUAUAACCCAUUUCUUCAAAUCAUCAUAUUUGGAUCGUGAAUGUUUCACCUAUAUGAAAACUUUUGAAUCACAAUAUCUUCAACCAAAUGACGACUUUUUGUAAGAAAAAUGUACUAAUAUAACUACAUAUAUAAUAAGAGAAUGCAAAAAAUUAUUGGAAAUUUAUAAAUACUAUAAAUGGUUUUAAUUAAGGAAUAUAAAAAAUUAUGUAGGUUUCAAAUCAAUAUGGUUUGAGAAAACAAAAUAUCUCUAGACAUAUGAUUUUGAAUGGUAUGGUUUGAAAAAACAAUAUAUCUCUAAACAUAUGAUUUUGAGUGGUCUUAUAUAUAUUACUGGAAAAAAAAAUAUAACACGAUCAAAUUAUGAGUAAAAAAUGAUACAUUCAUCCACAACCUUGACUUGUAGAGCUCUUUUAAGGACUCCAUCACCGCAAAUACGUUCUAAAAGAAUUGUGUCUAUUGAAAAAUUUUCUUUUCAUUUUCUUAUGACAUCCUUCUUACAUGUAAGAUUUUAUAUAACACAAAAGGCACAAAAGAUUGACUUUUUUAUAGUAAACUUUUAACUAAAUACUAAUUAAACAUAAUAUAAGUUAUAGAACUUUUGAGUGUUAAAUCAUAAUUACGAAAACUUUUGAGUUGCAUUAGUUAAAAAAUGGGGUUUCAAAUGAAUGUGGUUUGAGAAAGUUAAAAAAAGGGGUUUCAAAUGCAUGAGAUUCAAGAAAAAAUGUUAGCUUUAUAAGUAUGUAUGAUAUCUCCACAUCAAUCUUUUCUAACAUAUCAUUAAUAAAGUCUAUAUAAAUUUUGGGCCUCUUUAAAAGAAGGGCGUCGGACGAUCACCCCUAUCCCCCACCCUUUGUGACGGGCCUAUGAUGAAGAUAACAUUACCGAUUCAAUUUAACAUAACGAAACACAAUUAAAAGCGCACUAUAAAUUGGAUCAAGUUCCCAACUAAAACUAUUAGCCUUUACAAAAUAGCAUCCCACUAAACCCUUCCAUGUGAUUGUAGACUUGUAGUAGUUGCGGCACAUGCACCUUACUACAAAAAGUCACAUAAGAUCUGAUUUUUGGAAAAAUUGGUAUAUAUGAUUGAAAUUUUCUGAGGGUGUGUUUGGUUGUGAGAAAAUUUCCAAUUUUCCAUGAAAGUAAAAACUUUGAAAACAGGUUUGUUUGAUUCAGUUUUCAAACUUUUUCCAAGAAAAUGAAAAUUUUCUUUUUUAAAAAUUGUAUGUAAAUAAGAAAGUGAUUUUUACAGUUUUCCAAAGUUUUGUAAAUUUGUAAAAUGGAAAAUUGAAAACUCCAUUGGUUUCAACAAACACAUUUUCUAAAAUUUUCAUUGAAAACUAAAAACUAAGACUCAACUCUAUUUUCUAAAAAUGUUUUCUAGAAAACAAAAAACAAUCUUCCACAACCAAGUGCACCUAAGCCAUGAUAAAUGGUAUAUAACAUGAUGGUGUUACCAAGUUACGAUCAGGUGUAUUCUUUUUUAAAAUAUGAAGUCAUUAUAAGAAUUAUUAUUUUUAAAACAUUUAACUUACUAGAUAAAAAAAUUGAAAUAAAUAUAAGAAGUAUAACAACAGAACUUUUCAUAAUUUAUUGUUAGAACUUUUCAUAAUUUAUUGUUAGAGGGAUGUAUGUAUGGCCUUCCUUGGUUUGAGCUAGUGAGUUUUUGAAGCAUAGCAAUUGCCAUUGACUUAUUUAUUUAUCUAAUACAAACAUAUAUAACGUUUUUUUUAACAAAAAGGCAUUCAAAUAAAUAUUUAUUGGCAUGAUGCACAUAGGAACUUGAGAAAAGUAAAGAACACUGAAAUUAAAGUACACCAAACUGAUCAGGCAAGAGAUGUUGAUUUAAAGCAAAUCCUUUAUUAACCGAUUUGAAACAUGGCACAUUGUUAGUCUUUUGUUUGGAUUGGAGUUCAAACAUGCUCUUGAGAGGCUCAACACUAUAAUAUCAAGUGUCUGAUAAAACUUCCCAAUGACAUCUCUCACCAUUAGCUUUGUUUUCUCAUCAUAUAAUCUAAAAUAGAAAUAUAUAUUUUGUACAUUUGGAUGACUUAGGUAUCCUAGAGGGUAUAUAACACAUGAUGUGCUAUCCGAAUUAUGGACGGAUGUAUUCUUUUUGAAAAUAUGAUGUCAUUAUAAUAACUAUUAAUUAACAUUUUACUUACAAAAUAAAUAAAAAAUUGAAAUAGAUAUAAGAAGUAUUACAGCAGAAUUUUACAUAAUUUCUUGUUUGGGAGAUGUGUGUAUGGCCUUGUUCUUGGUUUAUAGUAGUGAGUUUUAGAAGUAUAGUAAGGAUCAUUGACUUAUUUUUUUAUCUACUACAAGUAUAUGUAAAGUUUCUCAACAAAAACACAUUCAAAUGAAUACAUAUUGACAUGAUGCAUAUAGGAAACAUGAGAAAAGUAAAGAACACUGUAAGUACACUAUAUUGAUCAAGCAAGAGAUGCCGAUUUAAAGCAGAUCCUUCAUUAACCGAUUUGAAACUUGGCGCAUAGUUGGUCUUCCAUUCGGAUUGGAGCUCAAACAUGCUCUUGAAAGACUCAGCACCAAAUCAACUUGUUUCUCAACUUGUGGUGAGGGAAGUGGAAUCCGACUGUCUCCCACAUUUCCUAACACCAGAUAAUCAGCAGACAAUGUUGAUAUUUCACCGGGAUGCUUUCCCAUGAUCACUUCUAGUGCAACAAUCCCAAAGCUAUACACAUCACAUUUCUCGGUUGCCACCAUCGUAUAAGCAAGCUCUAUAUUCAAAUAUAAAUAAAUAAAUAAAUAAAUAAGUAAAUAAAUAAAUAAAUAAAUAACCUAUUUUAACCCCACAAGAUUCUAACAUAAAUACAUAUAUGUACAUAUACAUAUUUAUAUAUAUCAUAAAAUUUAAGAAGAUGUAGAACCAGAAUCACAAGAUUAUGUUACCUGGGGCGAUAUAACCAUAGGUGCCUGCAAUUGCGGUCCAGUUGGAUGAGUCUAGCUUUAAAAGCUUGGAGGUCCCAAAAUCAGAAAUAUGUCCCUCAUAAUCGGAAUCAAGAAGGAUGUUGGAAAUGGAAAUGUCUCUAUGAAUUAUAGGAGGUGAGCAGUCGUGAUGCAUAUAAGCCAAACCAUUAGCUAUACCCAUUACAAUAUUGAUCCUUUUUAACCAGUCCAAUUCUUUUGCUAAGAUCUCAUUGCAUAAUAUUGAUCCAAGGCUUCCCUUUUCAAGGUAUUCAUAAAUCAAAAAUGAGUGAUGGCGAUGGGAGCAAUAUCCAUAGAGUUUCACUAUGUUUCGAUGCCUUAUGUUCGUUAAUGAUCGUACCUCAUUAAGGAAUCCAUUAUGAUCAACAUUCUCAGAUGAUGAUGAGUGAAGUUUCUUGACAGCUACCACAUUGUUAGGUUGUAUGUCAGCUUUGUACACGGUACCAUAUCCUCCGGUCCCAAUAGAGCAUGCUUCAUCAAAAUCAUUUGUUGCUUUCAAGAUGUCAUCAUACACUACUCCUCCAUCAAAACUUGUAAUGGAAAAAUAUCCUCUACUUUCUUCGUCCAAUGGUUUAUGUGGAGACCUUUUCUUUUGUUGUCGAUAAGCAAUGAGGCCAUACGUGAACAAACCAAGUAAAACAGCUGCCCCGAUAAGAGGGAAGAUAAUUACAAGGAUGACCCCAUGAUGCGAGGGAUUGUUUUUCUUCUUAAUCAUUUGAUCUGCACAAAGUUUCACUCCAGUAAUAUUUCCACAAACACCUGGAUUGCCUUCUAUGGACGCAUUCACAAAGUUGGGACUUUGGGGAACUGGGCCUGAGAGCUCAUUGUAAGAAAGGUUGAUAUCAAUCCCAUGUGGCAACCUUAUAAAAGCAUUAGGAAUAGAACCAGACAGUCUAUUGUGAGAAAGAUCCAAUUUUUGUAAACUUUGCAAACCUUGAACUUCAGUUGGUAUCACAUCUGUUAGCAAAUUCUGAGAUAAAUCAAGUUUUGUAAGUUGAACUAAUUUACCAAUCUCAGAUGGAAUUUUCUCACCGAGCUUGUUAUUACUAAGAUUCAAGUAAUGAAUAUGUUCCCAUUGACCGAUACUUAUUGGUAGUGACCCGUUUAAUCUAUUUGUAGAUAAAUCAAGUACUUCAAUGAGUUCAAAAGAUCCGAUCUCUGGAGGUAUAAUACCAGAAAGCUGGUUAUCAGCCAAAGACAAAUUCAACAUUCUUUUCAUCUUCCCAAACUCCUUAGGAAUCUGACCUGUUAGACGAUUGGAAGAAAGAUCAAGCCUUUGUAGUUGAGUUGAAUUUCCAAACUCUGGAGGAAUGGAACCACUAAGUUGAUUUUUGUUCAACUUAAGAUCAAUGACAGAUUUCAAAAUCACAAGCUGAAUAGGAAUAGGACCAGAAAGCUGAUUCUGGUGCAUAUAAAGGCUAUUUAAAGAUGUCAAAUCACCAAAUGAAACUGGAAUAGAACCAGUAAGCAGAUUGCGAUUCACCGCAAGAUUAGUGAGAGACUUCAAAUUCCCAAGUUCAGUAGGAAUGGAACCGGAUAAUUUAUUAUCUUUAAGCAUCAGCCAUUGUAGGUUGCCCAAGUUUCCUAGUGAUGAAGGAAUUGAACCAUUAAGUUGAUUGUUACUCACCGCAAGAUGAGUAAGAGACUCCAAAUUUCCAAGUUCAAUAGGAAUGGGACCGGAUAAUUUAUCUCAUGGAGGUACAGAGUGUGUAGGUUCUUGAGGUUUGCUAGUGAUGAAGGAAUAGAACCAUUAAGUUGAUUGUAGGCCACCUGAAUGUCAGUGAGAGACUUCAAAUUCCCAAGUUCAAUUGGUAUUGAGCCAGAUAUAUUGUUUGAGUAUAGGUACAAGAUGGUUAGCUGGUUCAUGUUUCCUAUUUCAGGUGGGAUUACUCCUGAAAACUUAUUCUCUGAAAAAUCAAGAUAUACAAGUUUGGUCAAGAGUCGGAUUUCUGGUGGGAUGGGGCCAGAGAAGUUGUUGACACUGAGAUCAAAAUGAGUAAGACUGUGUAGCAUUGAGAAUGAAAAUUGAUGAAGCGUACCCUUUAAGCUCGAUGAACUGAGGUUUAGCCUCUGAAUGCUCCCACCAGCAUUGCAAACUACUCCAAACCAAGAAGUGCAUGGAACUGAUGCAUUGGAAUUCAUAGGGAGGGGAAGCCAUGAAGAGAGAAAGGAGUUGUUUGGGAUUUCAAGGCUUGCUUUCCAUUUAAGAAGAGCAUUUACUUCUUCUAAAGAAGCACAAGAGAAAUUGGGUGUGGAGGAGAGUAUAAUGAUUAUUAGUAGAGUUGGAGAGAAAAAUAAGAAGUUUAAAGAAGUCAUUAUUUGGUUUUUGAAAAAUGAUGGUUUGUGUCUCCCUAAUUUAUACUUGACCCUUUAUUCUUUUUAUUUUUAUUUCACCUAACGUCAUGCUUUUCAAGUCAAGUCAAGUCAAUGUCAACAAAGAAAUGUAUCACUUUGAAUUGUAUUACUUAUGACCAUCUAAGAAGAAAAAAAAAAUGUUCACAUUGUGUGUAUACGUAUGGGUCCUACAGAAGAACUGAAUUUGGUGCAAUGACUACAAAAUUCAUUGGUAAAAUAAAUAAUAAGCUUUUCACAUUUGACUUCUUUCACUACUGAAAAUCUUGAAGCAUGGAACAAGUCAUGACAAUGUAUGAAACGUCAUCAGCGAAUUAGACAGUGUUAUGAUCAUUCAAUUCCUUUUUACAAUUAUUUUGCUACAAUCGUUCCUGUUUCAUGGUAUUCAAUUUCAAUAUCAAGUUCAGCUCAUAAUCAAUGGUGUUCAAUCAGUCCUUUAUCCCUCCUCUCAUUUAGCCAAUUACAUACCAUCGUUGAGCCUGCAUAUUUUGUAUGUUCAUCAAAUUUUGGUUCUCAAUUUUUCAUCUUACCGUUGUUAUCUUCACAUGACUGAUCAAGAUUUUUUUUCAUGCAAAUUUAAACAAAUAAAUUUGGUUGAAGUAUUUGAUCGAACAGUUGGGCUGCAUAGUACCUGGAAUGAAAUCGCUCAUCAACUAAUGUACUUCAAGAGCUUUUAUCACUCAAUAUAUCCGGAAUGGGUUGUGUUCAUCACCAUAUUAACCUGCGAAUUGUUAAAUCAUCUCACUCGAGCUAGAUCAAACUACAUUUCCAUCGAUUCAAGGCUCCCAUAAUGCAUCAUCAGAUUUGUAGUAGAGAUGAGAACUGAUGUAUGAAUGUUUAUCUCGUCUUGAAACAAUGGAGAUGAGAACUGAAAUUGGGUUUUUAUUUUGCUUUUUGGAGAUGGAAUCGAUUUUCUUGUAUGAAGAACUAAGUAAAUCUUGCGAAGUUCCCUCCGCUACUGCUUUCACUCGAUUCCUCUUAAGCUGGAUUUAUAGCAAUGGAAUUAAAGCCAUAUGAGAUAUUGAGCAACAAAAUAUCCUGGAAAAAUAACAAAAAGAAAGUAAAUUAGCUAUUCAAGAUACUAAGGUCCCUUAUUCCCAAUUUGCCCUCCAACAGAAAAGAUGCUAAUUGGUGUUACCCGUGUUUCCCUUUUACCCCAUUUCAUCUAGAAUAAGUGUAUUGCAUUGGUGGUGUAGCAUUAUCCCUCAAUAAAAAAAAUUAUUUUCAAAAUUAAAGAAAUUGAUUAAACUAUAAUACACAUACAUAAUGGAUUAUCAUGUAAUAUGACUAUGAUUCUAGAAUCUAGAACCCACUAGUAUUAUGCAAUGAUAUUGAUAUGUUAGCUAACAUUACACUUUCAGAUGAACUAAAUUUGCUUGUUAUUAUAGAUACUUAAUUUUCUUAUGAUCUAUUUGCAAAACAAAUUUCUCAACAUUUGAUAUCAUGUCAUUGAAAAAAAAAUUGAUGCUCAUAAAUGUGGAGAACCCUUGUUUUAGUUCGAUUGUAAUAAUUUUCAUAAAUUACAGAAUUACCAAUCUCUUCCAUGAUCUGUUGGGAUCCGAUGAAACUAAUUAAUGACCUAUAGCACUUAUACAUUGUAAUUUUCAAGUAAAUGAUAACUUAAGAAACAAACCUUGAUUCCGAUUACCAAUCUGUUGGAGAUUAGGCCAAUGCAGCUCACAAUAUGCCCGGAUUCCCCUUUUACCCCCGCCCCCGUUCCCCCGCCCCCGAUUGAUUUUGGGGUACCUUAUUUGGGCUAAAAUAAGUUCUUGUUUGGGCUAAAAGAAACUAUUUUUUGGAUAACAAAUAGAUAUUUAUAACAUAACUUUACAUGUUACAAACAACUUAAAAACUUGUUUUUGUUGAAUUUUUGUACGUAAAAAUCAUUUCGUUGUUUAUUAUACUUAUAUAAUUAACAUAUGUCAAUUUAUAUAAUUUAUUAACGGGGCCCCCACGGGGGUUUCGGGACGGGACUACCAACCCCCGCCCCCGCCCCCGAAAUUAAAACGGGGGUUAACCUUGCCCCCNCCCAGAUCGGGGUCCCACGAGACUUUUUGACAUCCCUAAUCCAUCCCCGAUGUAAUAAGUUCAAGUUCAAGUCCAGCCAAUCUUAUGUUUUUACUUUUUUUUAAAAAAAACAUGACUCCCUCUCAAUCUUUUAGAUAUAAGAAUUGAUUUUCAUGGAACUCUCAAAAAGACCCAAAAACAUUGCAACACAACAAAAAUAAAGCAAAAUAAAAGGAAAAGUGGAAAGAAAAUACUCCUUAGUUGCCUCUCGAUUAGCCGACCUUGUUUAAAGUCUUUGGCUCGACUUGGCCACUGGAAUAUGUUAUUCUUCGAAUGUUAGGGCUCUCCAACUCAGUAAACUUCUUACUACUUCCUCAAAUGGGACACUUAUCUUGUACCUAACUUUCUUUUUGCUUGGGAACCAUACUAGACUUAGACCCUUGAUGAAAACAAUCAUCCAACUGACCCCUUUCAUGUACUUUUCCAAUAAGGUGGUCAACUCUUCCUUCUUUUAUAGGGUGGUUGAGUUGAUGACUAAUUGGGUGUCUUCCUUCUCGGGAUAUGUAUCCUUUAAAGGGUAUGACAUAUUUACCGUUUUUGGCUCUAGUGGUUGGUCUACCAGUGAAAGGAUUUUCUCAUUGGUAGUGGGUGGUUGAGCCUCUCUUUCUUCAACCUCCAACACCUCCUCUAUAAUUUCCAUGUCAGACUUCUCAAUUUCUACUUCUUCAUCGAAAACGAUAUCCACUUCUACUUCUUCCUCCUCUUCCAUGUCUUCAAAUUGCAUUCUUGGGGUUAUCAAAAAUUUUCCCAUCAUUCAAGGUGAUGGCAGAAACAGUAUGCCUUGGGUCCUUUUCAAUAUGGAUUGUAAUUUACCUUGAGUUUCCAAUAUACUCACAGAUUGAGCAAGGUGUGCAUCCUCAAAGCUUUUGAGGCUAGCUUUGGUUGUUUUUGGAAGAUUUGGGUAGUAUCGACAAUGCUUUUCACAAUGUCUUCCAAGGACAUGCUCAACAUUUCAUUUUGUUGAGGAUAUGAAAGAUAUGGUUGUUGGAACUGUGGAGUUUAUUGGCAUUGGUCAUUUCCCCAAGCUUGGUUGUUGUCCCACCAUUGAUCAUAUUGAGGUUGAUCAUAACUCAUUGGUUUGGCUAGUAGUACCUUCCCAUUUCUUUCACUUCUUCAUAUUCUCCUUGUAAAUAUGGACACAUAUUGGUUGGGUGUCCCACUUGAGUGCAAAUACCACACAGACGGGGUAUGGUUUGUACACAUUUGUCAUUUCCAAUCAUCAUAACUUUUGAGAAUCAUAUUAUGCAAUAUAAUACAAAUAUACAUAACCCCACUCGUUUUCUUCUCUUUCAUAUAAGUUGCAAGAUAUUUAAGUAUAUGCCAAUGUUUUUUAAGAGCGCAAAACGCUCGUUCAACAUCCUUUCUUGCCUUGUCUUGAUCUCUCUUAAACUUCAACCUUUUGCGAUCAUUUGGAAAAGACAAUGACUUUACAAAACAAGCACGCACCGGAUAGAUCUCAUCCACAAGAUAAUACUCGUACCUAUAUGACAUUCCACGUACUGCAAAGGAAGAAUAUGGUGCAGUCUUAUUGACACAUCGUCGAAAACGGAGACAUGUUAAGAACAUUAAUGUCAUUGAGGGAACCAGCUGAACCAAAUAAUGCAUGCCAUAUCCACAAAUCAUGUGAGGCCACCGCUUCAAGUAUGAUAGUUGGAUAAGCAUGAUCGCUUCAGGUGUAUUGGCCUUGUGAGGCCACCCCUUCCUAACAUUUCAGGGAUGCCGUGCACGUUCGAUUGAUGAGCAUAUAACUGUUGGACGUUACUAUAUCAUGUUUGCGCAAAUAUCAUGGACCAUACAAUCUCGUGACAUACCAACAAAAUUUGUGAAGGCUUUAUAAUGUCGUAUGUUUGGAUAUCCUAAGAUUCUCAUCUGCUGCAUCAGUGAAAGUGGCAUAUGAUAAUCGACGAAGUGCAGUGGUGCAUUUUUGUAAAUGAGUAAAACCAACUGUACCUCUAGCAUCUACACGUUGCUGAAAUUAUGGACAAACUGUUGUGACGUCGUUGACGAUACACAAAAACGAUGUUUAUGCAUACGGAACCGUCGGCAAAAGUAAUAUCCUUGAAAAGUCGCAAUUUCAUUAAAAUAAUCUUGCAAGAGGCUUUAAUUAACCGUCUCACGAUGUCUUUGUAUGUACCUUCUUUUUCUCUAACAUGCAUUAUCCGUUUUCAUAGUUCUUCUAUCUAAUUUUAGCCUAUUGAAUGGCAUCUAUGGUUUGAAGGAGGUUUUGAUGUGGUAAAUGAAGGAAUCUUAGGUUAUAUUUAUAGGUAUUAAAAAAAAAAUUAAAUUUAAACCAAAGAACCAUUUUUCAUGGGUUGAAGAAAGAUGGUCAAACUCGGUAAUUUCUCGCCCGUACUCGUGCCGAACCGAGGUGGUGGCAGGGUGUUCGCCGAGGCCACCUCGGAUUUGCCGAGUUGCACGCUCCUUGAAGUCUUACAACGAUCACUGAUCGGCCCUCAUAACCAUGGCUAUUCUCUUCGUCGAUUCUCAUAUCGGGCAGCUUGCUCCCUGAUUUCCCAUGCCCCCGCCCACGGCCCUCCUUGUCCAUUCCCAUGUUGGUCAAUUCCCAUGUGCAGAAACCACAACCAAAUCAUCUGAAUCCCUUAUUAUCCUACAAAUUCGUUUUCAUCUAUCAGAAAUUGAUACCAAAUCACUUGACCCGAUCAAAAUCGCAGAGAAUUUAUUUUGUAAACAAAUUGGCGACUUUUCGUCAGGAUCAUUUCCAUAGUAGAAGCAGAGCGGUUGAAGUAUUCAUCAUAAUUGAGUUGAUAUGAAAUUAGUAGGUAUGUAUUGGUUUCUUUCCUUGUUUUCCUUCACUAUUUUACUUCCAAACACUCCUUUGUAUCUAAUGCAUAUUAAGUGUUUGACGAAAUGCCUAACUGAUUUUAUUUAUUUAUUUAUUUAUUUAUUUAUUUAUUUAUUUAUUUUUAAUUUAAUGCAAUAUUAGCUCUAUGGUUUGUUAAUACCGAGGUGUUCUGAAUUCAUAGACUAUUAAAAAAACAAAGAAUACUUACAGGAAAUAAGUACUGAUCUCCAAAUAUUCGUCAAUUCUUACAAAAAAAUUGUACACACCCAAUACAAUAUGAGAGAAGUAAUGGUUCCUAGGCAGUGCGAUUAUUAUGUUAGCUAACAUUACAUUUUCAGAUUAACUAAAUUUGCUUCUUACUAUAGCUAGUUAAUUUUCUUAUGAUGUGUUUGCAAAAAAAUUGAUCAACAUCAAAUAUCUUGUCUUUGAUUUUUUUUUUAUUCAAUUCUCAUCAAAGUAACAAUAUUCGUAAAUUAAACAAAUUGCAAUUUCUUCCAUGAUGUAUUGAGAAUCAGUGAAACUAAGAUGAUAUAUAGCACUUAUACGUUGUAUUUUUCAAGUAAAUAAUUACAUAAGAAAUAGAUCCUGAUUACCAACCUGCUGGUGAUUACGCCAAUGGCAACUCACUAGAGUCUCAUGAACCCCUAUAAACAUAGAGACUAGCAUAUAAAUAUUAAAAUAUACAUUGCUAGAAAGGAUAUUGCAUUAUCCAGAAAUAGGUGUAAAUGAAUGAACCUUAACUUUGCUUAGUGCAUUAAUGGCUAUAUGAUAAUUCCAUGAUUAUUAGGCAACUUUUGAUGGUGAUUCUUCUGAAUUAUGUGUGCUAGAACUCAUAAUCGCAAUCUCAACCUUGUUCUUUGGAAUAUGGCAUGACAUGGAUAUAACAUUAAUUGAUUUAAUGUGUCAAAAAAAGAAAGACUCAAGUUUGACUUCAGACAAAGAGAGUAAGCAGAGACUAAAGGUACUCUGUUUGGUUUUUUAGUAGCACGUCUUCCAUUCAAAUUAACAGCCGAUUGCAUGUAAAUUGCUUUGAAAUGCAAAACUUCUUUUUAAUAUUUAAAGUUGUCAUCUUUGUAAAGAAAUUUUUUAUCUAUAAUAUAAAAUAUAAAUAUCUAUUUCCUAAUACAAAAUUUGUAUAUAUGAAUGAGUAAUGUAGCAUAGGCGGUAUAUAGCAUCAAAAUCAUAAAAUUAUGUUACCGAAUUGCCUACAAUCUUUGGCAACUCUCUUGAAUUUGAAUUUUAUGGUAUAGAGUUUGGUGGCCAAAGUAAAUACAUAAAACACAAAUAUUUUGUUGAAAUUUUUUCAGGGUAACUAAUUAUUCCACAUCAAUUGAUAGGAAUUUCGUAUUUGGAAUUAAGAUGAUUUGCAACUAAUACAAACUGCAAAUGUUCUCUACAUAUUGUUUAAAACUCUAUUGGUGUUUGUUUUUCGGUCGUUAUUAUUUGACAUACAUUGUAGAAAAUAAUUUAUCAUAUGUAAUUAAUCUACCAUUGUUAUUUUUGCUACUUGUUACAUUUAUUGGAAAUCCAAGUGAUGGAAAAAUUUGUUGCUAAAUUUCACCUGAAAAUAAAUCAGGUGAAAGGUCGGUGCUAAAUUUCAGACAAAGUUUAUGUAGCUUAUCCGUCGUGAAGUAUUAAGCAAUAGAUUUGUCCUUGACUCAUACAUGAUUUUCCAUAAGUGAAGCGUCUAAAAGGAUAGCAAUCUUCACUGUCUUAUUUGUUUAUCUACUACAUAAUAAUUUAAGAAAACAUAUGAGAAGUAUUAUAACAAAAAGGCAUUCAACUAAAUACAUAUUAUGAGGGUGCAUAUAAGGAACAUUAUAAAAGCAAAUAACAUUGAAAGUACACCAAUAUCAAGCCUUCAUCAACAGAUUUGAAACUUGGCGCAUUGUUGGCCUUUCUUGUGGAUUUGAGUUCAAACAUGCUCUCGAGAGAUUCAGUACCAAAUUAACCUGUUUUUCAACUUGUGGUGAAGGAAGUGGAAUCCGACUAUCUCCAACAUUUGCUAACACCAGAUAAUCAACAGACAAUGUUGGUAGUUCACCAGGAUGCUUUCCCAUCAUCACUUCUAGUGCAACAAUCCCAAAGCUAUACACAUCACAUUUCUCAGUUGCCACCAUCGUAUAAGCAAGCUCUACAUCCAAAGAAACAUAGGAAAAAAACAAAAAGAAAACUACAUCAACCCCACAAGAUUCUAACAUGGAUACAUAUAUAUACAUAUACUUAUUCAUAUAUCUCAUGAAACUUAAGAAAAUAUAGAACUAGCAGCACAAAAUUACAUUACCUGGCGCGAUAUAACCAUAUGUUCCUACAGUUGCGGUCCAGUUGGAUGAGUCUAGCUUUAAAAGUUUGGAUGUGCCAAAAUCAGAAAUAUGUGCCUCAUAAUCAGAAUCAAGAAGGAUGUUGGAAAUGGAAAUGUCUCUAUGAAUUAUAGGAGGUGAGCAGUCGUGAUGCAUAUAAGCUAAACCAUUAGCUACACUUGUUACAAUAUUUACCCUUUUCAACCAAUCCAAUUCUCUUGCUAAGAUAUCGUUUCUUAAAAUUGAUCCAAGGCUUCCCUUUUCAAGGUGUUCGUA